CGAUAUCCAAUAGUAGCCAACUCUCUCGCUCUCUAUGUGUAUGUAUGUAUCUUGCUAUCCAUAUAUGUAUAUCCAUAUCAGAGAGCCAGGAUUGGUUGAGACCAUACGAUAUAACCCGAAACCACACUGGCCA
ensembl:ncRNA mir-4961 mir-4961 stem loop